GACGGAGGACGCAAGCGUUAUCCGGAAUCACUGGGCGUAAAGGGUCCGUAGGUGGUUUAAUAAGUCAACUGUUAAAUCUUGAGGCUCAACUUCAAAAUCGCAGUCGAAACUAUUAGACUAGAGUAUAGUAGGGGUAAGGGGAAUUUCCAGUGGAGCGGUGAAAUGCGUAGAGAUUGGAAAGAACACCAAUGGCGAAAGCACUUUACUGGGCCGCCACUGACGCUGAGAGACGAAAGCUAGGGGAGCGAAUGGG
rnacentral:rRNA from 1 species